rnacentral:rRNA from 1 species
GUGGGGAAUCUUGCGCAAUGGGCGAAAGCCUGACGCAGCCAUGCCGCGUGAAUGAUGAAGGUCUUAGGAUUGUAAAAUUCUUUCACCGGGGACGAUAAUGACGGUACCCGGAGAAGAAGCCCCGGCUAACUUCGUGCCAGCAGCCGCGGUAAUACGAAGGGGGCUAGCGUUGCUCGGAAUUACUGGGCGUAAAGGGAGCGUAGGCGGACAUUUAAGUCAGGGGUGAAAUCCCGAGGCUCAACCUCGGAACUGCCUUUGAUACUGGGUGUCUUGAGUGUGAGAGAGGUGAGUGGAACUCCGAGUGUAGAGGUGAAAUUCGUAGAUAUUCGGAAGAACACCAGUGGCGAAGGCGACUCACUGGCUCAUUACUGACGCUGAGGCUCGAAAGCGUGGGGAGCAAACAGGAUUAGAAACCCUUGUAGUCC